rnacentral:misc_RNA from 1 species
UCCGGGUUGGACCCGGCGGUCCCGCCAGACAUCGUAACUGGCGGCGGGGGUUGCGCUCGUUGCGGGACUUAACCCAACACCUCACGGCACGAGCUGACGACAGCCAUGCAGCAUCUGCGCACGCUCCCUCGCGGGUCCUCGGCCUUUCGGCUCCGUACCACGUGCAUGUCAAGCCCAGGUAAGGUUCUUCGCGUUGCGUCGAAUUAAACCACACGCUCCGCUGCUUGUGCGGGCCCCGUCAAUUCCUUUGAGUUUUAGCCUUGCGGCCGUACUCCCCAGGCGGCGGACUUACCGCGUGAGCUGCGGCACCGGGGGGGUCGAAGACCUCCCCACACCUAGCACUCAACGUUUACGGCUGGGACUAC